GACGAACGCUGGCGGCGCGCCUAACACAUGCAAGUCGAACGAGCGAGAGGAGGUUUACUUUCUCAAGCGAGUGGCGAACGGGUGAGUAACGCGUGAGGAACCUGCCUCAAAGAGGGGGACAACAGUUGGAAACGACUGCUAAUACCGCAUAAGCCCACGACCCGGCAUCGGGUAGAGGGAAAAGGAGCAAUCCGCUUUGAGAUGGCCUCGCGUCCGAUUAGCUAGUUGGUGAGGUAAUGGCCCACCAAGGCGACGAUCGGUAGCCGGACUGAGAGGUUGAACGGCCACAUUGGGACUGAGACACGGCCCAGACUCCUACGGGAGGCAGCAGUGGGGAAUAUUGCACAAUGGGGGAAACCCUGAUGCAGCGACGCCGCGUGGAGGAAGAAGGUCUUCGGAUUGUAAACUCCUGUUGUUGAGGAAGAUAAUGACGGUACUCAACAAGGAAGUGACGGCUAACUACGUG
rnacentral:rRNA from 1 species